ACGCUGACACCUACAGGAGGCAGCAGUGGGGAAUAUUGCACAAUGGGGGAAACCCUGAUGCAGCGACGCCGCGUGGAGGAAGAAGGUCUUCGGAUUGUAAACUCCUGUUGUUGGGGAAAAAGAGGAUGGUACCCAACAAGGAAGUGACGGCUAACUACGUGCAAGCAGCCGCGGUAAUCUGAGCGGGCUGGCAAGGC
rnacentral:rRNA from 1 species